CAAAGGAGAAAUCCGCUAAAAGAUGGACUCGCGUCCAAUUAGCUAGUUGGUAGGGUAAAGGCCUACCAAGGCGACGAUUGGUAGCCGGACUGAGAGGUUGACCGGCCACAUUGGGACUGAGACACGGCCCAGACUCCUACGGGAGGCAGCAGUGGGGAAUAUUGCACAAUGGGGGGAACCCUGAUGCAGCGACGCCGCGUGAGGGAAGAAGGUUUUUGGAUUGUAAACCUCUGUCCUUGGUAAAGAAGCAAGACGGUAGCCAAGGAGGAAGCCACGGCUAACUACGUGCCAGCAGCCGCGGUAAUACGUAGGUGGCAAGCGUUGCCCGGAAUUACUGGGUGUAAAGGGAGCGUAGGCGGUUAUGCAAGUUGAAUGUGAAAUCUAUCGGCUCAACUGAUAGGCUGCGUUCAAAACUGUAUAUCUUGAGUGAAGUAGAGGCAGGCGGAAUUCCUAGUGUAGCGGUGAAAUGCGUAAAUAUUAGGAGGAACACCAGUGGCGAAGGCGGCCUGCUGGGCUUUAACUGACGCUGAGGCUCGAAAGCGUGGGUAGCAAACAGGAUUAGAUACCCUGGUAGUCCACGCUGUAAACGAUGAUUACUAGGUGUGGGGGGACUGACCCCUUCC
rnacentral:rRNA from 1 species